ACAUCUAAGUAGGGCGAGGAAGAGACAUCAAACGAGAUUCCGUAAGUAGUGGCGAGCGAACGCGGAAGAGGGCAAACCGGAAGUAGAAAUACUUCCGGGGUACGGACCGCAUUUAGGACUUGAGUUGUUAACCGAACGGCAUGGGAAGGCCGGUCAGAGAGUGUGAGAACCACGUAGGUGAAAACGACAAGAGCUGAGCGAGUUCCAGAGUACGGCCAGACACGUGAAACCUGGUCGGAAUAUGGGGGGACCACCCUCCAACCCUAAAUACUACCCAGUGACC
rnacentral:rRNA from 1 species